CACCAUAUGGACUUCUUAGACAUCUCCUUUGAUGUUGACCAACAAGAAUAUGUACAAGCUGAUCUGUUUCGCAAACCCAUCGCUACCAGCUCUCUCGUACGUGCUGCAUCAUCACAUCCACAGAAUCUUAUCAGAGGCAUUCCCAAGGGACAAUUCCUAUGUGUGAAACAUAUUUGUUCAACCGAUGAAAUCUUUGAAAAGAGGGCAAUUGAACUCUAAGAUCGCUUUUCAGGAUGCGGAUACAAAAACCAAUGGAUCCGACAGGCCAAUUUGAGAGCCAAACACACCAGUAGAAGGAGUCUGUUACUGCCUAAGACCAAGGAUAAGAAGGAUAACCAGGUAUGACCACACGGGAAUUGAAGAAAAGGACCAGAGAACACGUCUUGGGAAUAAUAGCAGCAAAGAACGAAACGGAUCUGUCUCGCCUAACGACGGUCCCCCGACAUUUCAAGACGCAUCAUAACUGUGAACCAGGAGGCCUACAGGUGAACCGUCCAUGUCCUCUCUGGAUACCAUCUUAUUUCUUCUCAUCACUGCUCCAUCCAGCCAUGUGUGUUGCUUGCCACCAUCUUCAUUACUACUAUGAGUACAUAUAUUGUUUAU